rnacentral:rRNA from 1 species
AACGUAGGUUCCGAGCGUUAUCCGGAUUUACUGGGCGUAAAGCGCGUUCAGGCGGUUCGGCAAGUCGGGCAUGAAAUCUCUCGGCUCAACCGGGAGAGGUUGUCCGAUACUGUUGGACUUGAGGGCAGUAGAGGGUGGUGGAAUUCCGGGUGUAGUGGUGAAAUGCGUAGAUAUCCGGAGGAACACCAGUGGCGAAAGCGGCCACCUGGACUGUACCUGACGCUCAAACGCGAAAGCGUGGGGAGCGAACAGG